UGCUAUCUUCCUCCUCUUUUGUAACAAUGUUUGUACCUCAACCUCAAUUUUAUUCAAGUUUCAUCUCACCCCCCUUUUUUUUGAAUCAUCAAACACUUACAGACGUAAUAUAACUUCUCUCUCUUAGCAUACUUAUAAUUAAAUGACAUAGUUAUCACUAAAUUACAUGUACAUACUAAUAAUAUUAUAAGCAUGCAGAGCAGACAGUUCAAUAUCUUCAUUGAUGUAAUAUGUUUCGAAGCC
rnacentral:lncRNA from 1 species